rnacentral:rRNA from 1 species
CCUACGGGAGGCAGCAGUGAGGAAUAUUGGUCAAUGGACGCAAGUCUGAACCAGCCAUGCCGCGUGCAGGAUGACGGCUCUAUGAGUUGUAAACUGCUUUUGUACGAGGGUAAACCCCGGUACGUGUAUCGGGUUGAAAGUAUCGUGCGAAUAAGGAUCGGCUAACUCCGGUCCAGCAGCCGCGGUAAUACGGAGGAUCGGAGCGUUAUCCGGGUUUAUUGGGUUUAAAGGGUGCGUUGGGGGGUCGAUAAGUUAGAGGUGAAAUGUUGGGGCUCAACCCCGAAACUGCCUCUAAUACUGUUGGACUAGAGAAUAGUUGCGGUAGGCGGAAUGUAUGGUGUAGCGGUGAAAUGCAUAGAGAUCAUACAGAACACCGAUUGCGAAGGCAGCUUACCAAACUACAUCUGACGUUGAGGCACGAAAGCGUGGGUAGCAAACAGGAUUAGAUACCCUAGUAGUC